AAAACAUAGGUAAUAUGUAUUGGGGAUUAGGCACAAACUCAAAUUCCUAAGGCUAUAGGGUGUGUAGGUCAUGGUUGGGUCAUAAUUUGCCACAUAGGCCCAUUAUUCAUGCCCUAUACCACCCCCUGUGAUUCCCGUGGAUUAAACCAUGACAACCACGUCCCCCUUUUUCCAUUAUUCACGCAAACCCUAACCUAACAUCAAGAAGAACGAUAGUAGCAUCAAAUUCUCUUCCUUUGUUUGUGAUAAUCAAGUUGCACAAGAGAAGAAUAGGAGAUAUUUUGUUAUAUCUCAAUCCACAGUGACGGAGAUUCCGGAAUUGAAGCGCCCAAAUGGUAGAGACAAAGCAAAAAAGGAGGCCGUGGCCAAAAAGAAAGAGGCGUCGACAAAAAUUGAAACUCCGAGUGAAACGGAGGUGGAUAAGUUGAUGAGCAAGCUCACCGAAUUUAACGAAAUACAAGCGGCGAGACUUAAGUUGAAAGAAAAAGAAAUGCAAGAAGCGGCCGAUCGUGAAGACUUUAAGCUAAUGGCGACAGGCAUCAACUCGCGCCGGGAAAAAGAUAAAGCAGUGUUGCAAAAAAUGAAGGCGAAAAUUGCUCAAAAAUGGUGUCUUUAAAUUAUGUCGUUAUCAUUUUUUAUAUUUUCUUGUUUUCGUCUUUAGUUUAUGUCGCUAUCAUCUUAAUUUAUAAUAUGAAGUCUGUGUUUUUUUGGCUGAUUGUUUACUUUGAUAAUUGAUAUUAGUUUUUA